rnacentral:rRNA from 1 species
UACGAAGGGGGCUAGCGUUGCUCGGAAUCACUGGGCGUAAAGCGCACGUAGGCGGAUUGCUAAGUCAGGGGUGAAAUCCUGGAGCUCAACUCCAGAACUGCCUUUGAUACUGGCGACCUUGAGUCCGGGAGAGGUGAGUGGAACUCCGAGUGUAGAGGUGAAAUUCGUAGAUAUUCGGAAGAACACCAGUGGCGAAGGCGGCUCACUGGCCCGGUACUGACGCUGAGGUGCGAAAGCGUGGGGAGCAAACAGG